ensembl:lncRNA
CGGUCAAUGAAGAGACCUCGUAGGUGACCUGCUCAAAGGGUUCCGGGACUCUGCACACCUCCUCCACCACCUCCAUUCCUCUUGGGCCAGAGCAUCAACAGGUGCAUUGAUAAUGGCCAGGGUAGAGAUGAUGGCAUCCUUUGACUCAAGAAACCGCUUCAACAUAUAAAAUAGUGCAGUCUUGUUUAGGCCUCAGCUCAGGCAUCCCCAUCUGGCUUUGUGUACACUUUAGUUUUUCACCACCUACUGUGCUCCUGUGGGUGUAUUCCACAGCUGCUUUCACUUUGUCCACAAUGGGCUUUAUCACCUUCAGAGCAUCUCUUACAAUCAGGUUGAUUGUGUGGGGCAAGACAUGGAUGAUGGGUCCAUUUUAACAUUUUCAUGACUUUGGUUAUGUUAGCUGCAUUGUUGCUAACGCAACAGACCACUUUUCCAUCUACUUGCCAUUCUCUGGCCACUCUCAACAGUUCCUCUGCCAAGUUCUCUGAGGUGUGUCUGUUGCUGAACUCAAAGCAGUCCAGAAGACAGCUGGACAUCGAACAAUCUUCAGUGAAGUGACAUGUAACCGACAUGUAAGAAGUGGUUACCCUUGAUGUCCAGCAGUCAGUGGGAAGGCAAACUGCAGUAGCUUUUUGGACUCUUUCCCACACUGAAGCCUGUGUGCUCUCGUACAGUUGAGGAAUAAGUGAUUUUGAAAAGGUUUUCCUGCUUGGAAUUGUG